rnacentral:rRNA from 1 species
AGUGAACGCUGGCGGCGUGCCUAAUACAUGCAAGUCGAACGGAGUGGCACACGGGUGAGUAAUAUAUAGCUAAUCUGCCCCUUGCUGGAGGACAACAGUUAGAAAUGACUGCUAAUACUCCAUAGCAAGGGAUGAGACUAUAUCGUAUCAGUUGGUCGGUGGGGUAACGGCCUACCGAGGCUAUGACGCGUAACUGGUCUGGGAGGAUGGCCAGUGACAUUGGAACUGAGACACGGGCCAAACGCCGUCGGGAGGCAGAAGUAGGGAAUAUUGCGCAAUGGGGGAAACCCUGACGCAGCAACGCCGCGUGGAGGAUGACACUUUGCGGAGCGUAAACUCCUUUUGUUAGGGAAGCGGUACCUAACGAAUAAGCACCGGCUAACUCCGUGCCAGCAGCCGCGGUGAUAC